CUGCCAAUAGCUCAGUUGGAUAGAGCACUCGCCUUCUAAGCGAGCGGUCGGGGGUUCGAAUCCCUCUUGGCAGGCCA
rnacentral:tRNA from 1 species